rnacentral:rRNA from 1 species
GAUGAACGCUAGCGGGAGGCCUAAUACAUGCAAGUCGAACGGUAAGGUCCCUUCGGGGAUACACGAGUGGCGGACGGGUGCGUAACGCGUACGAAACAUACCUUCAACAGGGAGAUACCUCCGGGAAACUGGAAAUAAUACCCCAUAGUAUUGAGAUAUCGCAUGAUAUUUCAAUUAAAGCUUUGGCGGUUGAAGAUUGUCGUGCGUCUGAUUAGCUAGUUGGUGAGGUAACGGCUCACCAAGGCGACGAUCAGUAGCUGGUCUGAGAGGAUGAUCAGCCACACUGGAACUGAGACACGGUCCAGACUCCUACGGGAGGCAGCAGUAGGGAAUAUUGGACAAUGGGCGGAAGCCUGAUCCAGCCAUCCCGCGUGUAGGAAUAAGGCCCUAUGGGUUG